GGAACGUGUCGACGUUUAUAUAAGGCGGUGGCCAACAAUUCAGUUCACAUUCUUGCAGGGAUCUUCCACUGCAAAUGUUGCCUUGGCACCAUCUUCAGACGCACCGCCCGUCAGUUUCGUUGUUAAAAACGAACGCAGACACCAUCCUGAAACCACAGAGGUAAAGUUGCUCGUAUCAUAUGUUUCAACGGACGAGAUGGCCUCCAAAUCGGAGAAAGCGUUUGCCAACAUUUGAUGACAGAUGCUAUACUGGAACAACUCCUGUAGUUGAGCCUUCCAGACAAGCUUUUAUUUUGAAGAAAGAUGAAAACGAGGGUGCUGACGUGUGUGGAGUAUUAUUAUUGGGGUCUUCUCACGGGCUCAUUGCUGCUCACUGUGUUACAGGAUAAUUGCUGUUGUUUAACUGUUGUCUAAAUUCAACUCAUCGAAAGGAAUGUAGUCUGUCACUAUUCUCUGGAAUACUAUCAAAGCGAACUUACAACGACAUUGCCCUCGUCAAAUUUGAAGGCCUUGUUGACUUUGCAGACAAAUACUGUAUGACAAAGUCAUCGGUUAGUAAAUGUCACUAAUUUACUUUUUGGUUGCUGUUUUUUUCUUUUUUACAUGGGGUUCAUGUAUCAUCAAGUUUUGCCACCUAUGUUCAUCCUUCACAUACCUUUUUGUUCUGGUGAUUUGUUCCCCCCGAAGUUAUCAGCACUGUGGAAUUCGGAAUUAUCUGCCACAGUCUGACUGUAAUGUUUCU